UUUAUUGGAGAGUUUGAUCCUGGCUCAGGACGAACGCUGGCGGCGUGCCUAAUACAUGCAAGUCGAGCGGACUU
rnacentral:rRNA from 1 species